GAUGAACGCUGGCGGCGUGCCUAAUACAUGCAAGUCGAGCGAACGGACGAGAAGCUUGCUUCUCUGAUGUUAGCGGCGGACGGGUGAGUAACACGUGGAUAACCUACCUAUAAGACUGGGAUAACUUCGGGAAACCGGAGCUAAUACCGGAUGAUAUUUUGAACCGCAUGGUUCAAAAGUGAAAGACGGUCUUGCUGUCACUUAUAGAUGGAUCCGCGCUGCAUUAGCUAGUUGGUAAGGUAACGGCUUACCAAGGCAACGAUGCAUAGCCGACCUGAGAGGGUGAUCGGCCACACUGGAACUGAGACACGGUCCAGACUCCUACGGGAGGCAGCAGUAGGGAAUCUUCAGCAAUGGGAGAAAGCCUGACGGAGCAACGCCGCGUGAGUGAUGAAGGUCUUCGGAUCGUAAAACUCUGUUAUUAGGGAAGAACAUAUGUGUAAGUAACUGUGCACAUCUUGACGGUACCUAAUCAGAAAGCCACGGCUAACUACGUG
rnacentral:rRNA from 1 species